rnacentral:tmRNA from 1 species
GGGGGUGAUCGGCUUCGACUUCGGUGGUCGAGGCAGGAGAAGCGAGCCGUGGUCUCCGGAGCCACGUUAAAGAGCCGGAACCAAAAACAAAUGCCGAGAGCAAUCUCGCAAUCGCUGCCUAAACAGUAGCGACGGUCGCCCGGUCCCAGCCCUGCGGACCGGAUGCGAACGCCAUCAAGUGGGGCUUACCCGCACGCCUUCGUCGGCGAGGCGACCGGGGACAUUCAGUCGACUGGGGCUUCCCACCGUUGCCGGUGGUGAGGGGAGGCCCGAGACCCAAGCACCGGCUGCGCUCGGAGAAGUCCUGCUGAGAAGCUGAAGGACGCGGGUUCGAUUCCCGCCACCUCCACUC